GACGAACCGUGCGAACGUUAUUCGGAAUCACUGGGCUUAAAGCGCGUGUAGGCGGAUGAGCACGUCUGUCGCUGAAAUCCCCCGGCUCAACCGGGGAACGGGCGUGGAUACGGCUCGUCUGGAGGGGCGUAGGGGGACCUGGAACUUCCGGUGGAGCGGUGAAAUGCGUUGAGAUCGGAAGGAACGCCCGUGGCGAAAGCGAGGUCCUGGACGCCUACUGACGCUGAGACGCGAAAGCCAGGGGAGCGAACGGG
rnacentral:rRNA from 1 species